CAAGGAGUAGUUUAUUGAAAAUAUUAAUUUUGGAGAUUAAUGAAAGGAUUAAAGGGUCUUUUCCUUGA
rnacentral:tRNA from 1 species